rnacentral:rRNA from 1 species
CGUCGCGAGAAGUCCACUGAACCUUAUCAUUUAGAGGAAGGAGAAGUCGUAACAAGGUUUCCGUAGGUGAACCUGCGGAAGGAUCAUUGUCGAUGCCUGCAAAGCAGAACGACCCGCGAACCGUUUCUCAAUGCUCGGGACACCGGAGGGCGCCCAGCCAGCCGGUAUCCCGAACGCUUCGGACGUUGGGGGUGCCCGCACCCCCAGCGGACGGAGCAUUGAAACACACCCCGGCGUGCAAAGCGCCAAGGUACUCGAACUACAGGGCAAGCACCCGUCGGCCUGGACUCCAGCGCGAACGGGUGUCUGUUCGGUGUCAUAAAUCUAAACGACUCUCGGCAACGGAUAUCUCGGCUCUCGCAUCGAUGAAGAACGUAGCGAAAUGCGAUACUUGGUGUGAAUUGCAGAAUCCCGUGAACCAUCGAGUCUUUGAACGCAAGUUGCGCCCGAAGCUUCGGCCGAGGGCACGCCUGCCUGGGUGUCACACAUCCCCUCGCCUCCAAAACCUUCGCCAUCGUAAACGCCGUGGCGAUGGUUCGGAUGCGGAAGCUGGCCUCCCGUGUCCACGAGGCACGGAUGGCCCAAAUAUCGGCUGGGGAAGCGAAGCGCCACGGCUCUCGGUGGUUGGCACAGCCCUUCGAGGCGAUGAAGCCCGUGGCAGCCGCGACGGUACCCGGUCUACGACCCUAAUCGUUAACCAACGCGACCUCAGGUCAGGCGGGGCUACCCGCUGAGUUUAAGCAUAUCAAU